GAAUUCAAGCAUAUCAAUAAGCGGAGGAAAAGAAACUAACAAGGAUUCCCCUAGUAAUGGCGAAUGAAGCGGGAACAGCUCAAAUUUGAAAUCUCCGUCGCCUGCGACGGCGAAUUGUAGUUUCGAGAAGCACUUUCUAGGCGGACCCGGGGCCGUCCAAGUUGCUUGGAACAGCACGUCAUAGAGGGUGACAACCCCGUCUGUGGCGGAACCGGCCGCUGACGAUGCGCUUUC
rnacentral:rRNA from 1 species